rnacentral:rRNA from 1 species
CACUUUUGCGGAUUUCUUCGGAUUGAAGCAAUUGUGACUGAGCGGCGGACGGGUGAGUAACGCGUGGGUAACCUGCCUCAUACAGGGGGAUAACAGUUGGAAACGGCUGCUAAUACCGCAUAAGCGCACAGUACCGCAUGGUACCGUGUGAAAAACUCCGGUGGUAUGAGAUGGACCCGCGUCUGAUUAGCUAGUUGGUGGGGUAACGGCCUACCAAGGCGACGAUCAGUAGCCGACCUGAGAGGGUGACCGGCCACAUUGGGACUGAGACACGGCCCAAACUCCUACGGGAGGCAGCAGUGGGGAAUAUUGCACAAUGGGGGAAACCCUGAUGCAGCGACGCCGCGUGAGCGAUGAAGUAUUUCGGUAUGUAAAGCUCUAUCAGCAGGGAAGAAAAUGACGGUACCUGACUAAGAAGCCCCGGCUAACUACGUGCCAGCAGCCGCGGUAAUACGUAGGGGGCAAGCGUUAUCCGGAUUUACUGGGUGUAAAGGGAGCGUAGACGGCAUGGCAAGCCAGAUGUGAAAGCCCGGGGCUCAACCCCGGGACUGCAUUUGGAACUGUCAGGCUAGAGUGUCGGAGAGGAAAGCGGAAUUCCUAGUGUAGCGGUGAAAUGCGUAGAUAUUAGGAGGAACACCAGUGGCGAAGGCGGCUUUCUGGACGAUGACUGACGUUGAGGCUCGAAAGCGUGGGGAGCAAACAGGAUUAGAUACCCUGGUAGUCCACGCUGUAAACG